GACGAACGCUGGCGGCGUGCCUAAUACAUGCAAGUCGAGCGAGACUCUUCGGAGUCUAGCGGCGGACGGGUGAGUAACACGUGGGCAACCUGCCUGUAAGACCGGGAUAACACCGGGAAACCGGUGCUAAUACCGGAUAAUCCUUUUCCUCUCAUGAGGAAAAGCUGAAAGUCGGUGUCGGCUGACACUCACAGAUGUGCUCGCGGCGCAAUAGCUAGUUGGUGAGGUAACGGCUCACCAAGGCGACGAUGCGUAGCCGACCUGAGAGGGUGAUCGGCCACACUGGAACUGAGACACGGCCCAGACUCCUACGGGAGGCAGCAGUAGGGAAUCUUCGACAAUGGACGAAAGUCUGAUGGAGCAACGCCGCGUGAGCGAUGAAGGCCUUCGGGUCGUAAAGCUCUGUUGUUAGGGAAGAACAAGUACCGGAGUAACUGCCGGUACCUUGACGGUACCUAACCAGAAAGCCACGGCUAACUACGUGCCAGCCGCCGCGGUAA
rnacentral:rRNA from 1 species